UAGCCAGCUUAGCCCAGCAGUUCCAUCGAACAAAGCAUUGCACGGAACCCCCAAUCGCUUCCGGCGGUUCGAGACCCGCGGGAGCUGCCUGGCUUUCAA